UACAUGUACUGAACACAUGCCCUGACCAGUGAUGCAAGCUCAUUUAACACCAGAAGAGCUCAUAUAAAGCUCUGGUAUCGAAUCAAGCAAAUCCCACUUCUGACCUGUCGCACCUACCGACAUUGGAUGAAAAAUGACCAAUGGUACACUAAAGCCCAUUCUACGUCAUUCCUCGAGUCUGCGUGGAGUUUAUUGCUUUGUUACCCUUUCGUCAUGGUUGAGCUAGAUUGUCAAGAUAUAUAACAUCGACGUCUGGAGGACAAAACAAAGAUCUAUUUCAGCGACCGUUGUCGGAGCAAAAGCUUUUUUUUCGGAUACUAAUUAUGCUGCAGUUUCGUGUAUGAGAGAUGGAGCAAAACUUUCCCAAUAAGAGAAUUUGUUCAAACUUUGUAUAUGAACACAGUUUCAUGUUAGAAACAGAAAAAUGCAAAAACAAUCAAAGGUCUUCGUGCUUGUUCAGGAGUUAUCUGUCCUUAAAACUGGAUUUUUUUCUUUUGCAUAUUCAAGGGCAGACAACUCCUCAGCAAGCAUGGUGAGCUUUGAGUGUUUUUUUUUCAUAAUUCUGUUUCUAACAUGACACUUUAUGCCGCAUGCGUCCUUAACUGUUUGAUACAUCUUUUCCGUAACAUGGGUUUUCCCUGAAUUUUCUUUAGAUAUGAACAAUGCGGUUAAUAUAAUAAAUAACUGAAAAGAACUCCGAAAGUAGUUAUAGGAACUUUUUACAGUAUUAAAAUAUCUUGAUUAGUUUUAAAAUCGUCAUAAAACGAUUUCGCUAUUGUUGACACUACUUAAAAAAAUUGUCUUAAUUUGUGAAUGGAUUGUUAUCAAACUUUUAGGAUAUCUUAGUAUACAUCGAGGUCUUGGUGCAAAACUAUUGAAGUGUAUAUAAAUAAAGAAUAAGAUACAAUAGUUUUGCUCCAAGCCCUCGACAUGUAAAUGCAACAUAUCUUUGUAAAAUAUCUAAACAUUUUUUUUUUCAAAAUUAUAAUUCUGUCUGAUUUUUACAAUGGGAAAACAACAUUUUGGCUAUAGACAUGGCGUUAUUUAAGAUAUUUCAAAUCGUUCCACUACCACACCUACAGACACAUUUGGAAUGAUGUAGUAUAUAAGCAAAGCUUCACUUCCGUUUUAAGGACUAGGAGGAUCAAGCAGAAGAUUUGUAAGGAAACGCUAUGUAUUGUUUACCUUUCAUACAGUUGUACAAUUUUGUAAUAAUACAUGCUACCGUUCUGAGGUUUUCAUGGACGGCCACGUGUCCCUGACUGGACAUGGAAAUUAAUUAUAGGAGAUAUUGAUCAAAUAAGUACAUUAUUCUUUAUGAUGAGAAAUACAUCCUCAUCCUUGAAUAAACAUUUUUCAUAAUUUCAGAAACAUCCUGUUUAUUGAUAAUUACUGCUUAGAUGCUAGGUUAAGACGUUACUGCAAGAACAUGAUUUUCUUCGUAAAGUUUACUGCUUUCAAACAAAGAGGGAUAACACAGUAGAUACAUAUAAAUCACAAUAUAUAUAUUAUCAUUUAUGUUUUCAGACCUUGAAAAGCGAGAAAGAAUAAAUGAGAUGAUAAAAUACGGAACUAAUUACGCAAAUUUAAACACUGAAACAAGCCUGAUGUUUGGUAUAUAAUUUCAACAUAACGAUACAAAGUGAAAUAUUCUGAUUUCGAUACACAAAUGUGUCAUUUACUACAGAAUAACAAUAAUUGCUAAAAAUUUAUUGCACAGAUAACGAGUACUCCACUCCUUUCAAAAACGCUUGUGAAUAUUUACACAUUUCUGUAUUCAAACACAAAUUGAAAUAGCUGAAAAGUGUUCCGGCAAUGAACAUGUUAACUUUUGAGAAGUUGUCUCGGUUUGUUCUAGAGUGAUUUACUUAUUUAUUAACCGUAUUGCAUAAUUAAAAGGUCUACUUAGUUUAACCGUUAA
rnacentral:lncRNA from 1 species